CAGCAGCCGCGGUAAUACGUAGGGUGCAAGCGUUAAUCGGAAUUACUGGGCGUAAAGCGUGCGCAGGCGGUUAUAUAAGACAGAUGUGAAAUCCCCGGGCUCAACCUGGGAACUGCAUUUGUGACUGUAUAGCUAGAGUACGGCAGAGGGGGAUGGAAUUCCGCGUGUAGCAGUGAAAUGCGUAGAUAUGCGGAGGAACACCGAUGGCGAAGGCAAUCCCCUGGGCCUGUACUGACGCUCAUGCACAAAAGCGUGGGGAGCAAACAGGAUUAGAUACCCCAGUAGUCCCUGUCUCUUAUAC
rnacentral:rRNA from 1 species